AGUGAACGCUGGCGGUAGGCCUAACACAUGCAAGUCGAACGGCAGCACAGUAAGAGCUUGCUCUUACGGGUGGCGAGUGGCGGACGGGUGAGGAAUACAUCAGAAUCUACUUUUUCGUGGGGGAUAACGUAGGGAAACUUACGCUAAUACCGCAUACGACCUACGGGUGAGAGCAGGAGAUCUUCGGACCUUUCGCGAUUGAAUGAGCCGAUGUCGGAUUAGCUAGUUGGCGGGGUAAAGGCCCACCAAGGCGACGAUCCGUAGCUGGUCUGAGAGGAUGAUCAGCCACACUGGAACUGAGACACGGUCCAGACUCCUACGGGAGGCAGCAGUGGGGAAUAUUGGACAAUGGGCGCAAGCCUGAUCCAGCAAUACCGCGUGGGUGAAGAAGGCCUUCGGGUUGUAAAACCCUUUUGUUGGGAAAGAAAAGCAGCAGGUUAAUACACAGCUGUUCUGACGGUACCCAAAGAAUAAGCACCGGCUAACUUCGUG
rnacentral:rRNA from 1 species